rnacentral:rRNA from 1 species
CCUACGGGUGGCAGCAGUGAGGAAUAUUGGUCAAUGGACGAGAGUCUGAACCAGCCAAGUAGCGUGAAGGAUGACUGCCCUAUGGGUUGUAAACUUCUUUUAUAUGGGAAUAAAGCGCUCCACGUGUGGGAUUUUGUAUGUACCAUAUGAAUAAGGAUCGGCUAAUUCCGUGCCAGCAGCCGCGGUAAUACGGAGGAUCCGAGCGUUAUCCGGAUUUAUUGGGUUUAAAGGGAGCGUAGGUGGAUUGUUAAGUCAGUUGUGAAAGUUUGCGGCUCAACCGUAAAAUUGCAGUUGAAACUGGCAGUCUUGAGUACAGUAGAGGUGGGCGGAAUUCGUGGUGUAGCGGUGAAAUGCUUAGAUAUCACGAAGAACUCCGAUUGCGAAGGCAGUUCACUGGACUGCAACUGACACUGAGGCUCGAAAGUGUGGGUAUCAAACAGGAUUAGAUACCCUUGUAGUC